rnacentral:rRNA from 1 species
UACGUAGGGUGCAAGCGUUAAUCGGAAUUACUGGGCGUAAAGCGUGCGCAGGCGGUUUUGUAAGUCUGUCGUGAAAUCCCCCGGGCUCAACCUGGGAAUUGCGAUGGAGACUGCAAGGCUAGAAUCUGGCAGAGGGGGGGGUAGAAUUCCACGUGUAGCAGUGAAAUGCGUAGAUAUGCGGAGGAACACCGAUGGCGAAGGCAAUCCCCUGGGCCUGCACUGACGCUCAUGCACGAAAGCGUGGGGAGCAAACAGG